CUUUGUCCAUUUUGACGGUGUACAACCCAAUCGAAGCAACUUACUGUUUAUAUAGCGGUUUGAAGCCUGAUAAUAUUUAAUUAAUAUUAUAUUAUAUUAGCCAUUGGUCACGACCAUGUGAUGACCACUCAUAAAACUUGCUAUCAUCGCACGAACACACUUUCAUGUACGAACCAGCAGCGGUCAGACACACACAGAGUUACCAACAAGGAUAGUAACAUCUCAUAUUAAUUUUGUCGUUUAAUAUGACUCUUCUCGCGAACUGGACAAUAGCAAGGCGGCGAAGGGAAAACUUGCGAUUGUGGAUCCUUUUCAUCCUUGUCAUCCUGUCAAAUGCAGCUGAAAGUGCGGUUGCAGCCGCUUCUGCUGCUGCGGCAAGCGGCAACGGCGCUGCGGCAGCCGCCAGCGCAGGUGCGCCAAUCGCCAACGUUGGUGCGGUGAGGUCCUCUGUGAUAAGACCCGCUUACGGAGGCCCCAGAAUCACAAAAAUUUUCGAAAUCGUCCCAACCGUACUCCAUGAGUUCUCCGGCCUGGGUAUACUCUCUCACAUACUAAACCACGGCAUCACCAUUAAUCUUCUUAAUAACGAAAAUGGUAAAUAAAUUAUUUUUUUGUAUAUA